UCCCUGGCAGUCUAGUGGUUAGGACUCGGUGCCUUUACUGCCGGGGCCCAGGUUCGAUCCCUGGUCAGGGAA